GUGAGUUAGAAUUAAUGCUCUGGUCUUUGAGUUUAUUAGAGUGAAUGGCUAUGGGGUCUUAAACUGAGAUAUAAAUAUUUGAAGUGUGGAGCAUUAUUUGGCCGAGACUUGGAGAAAUACGUAAAUGAAAAGAGAGCAUACGAUAACUUGUGCUCAUUCUUCAGGGUUUUAAGAAUGGGAGCCCUAACAAGGUGGUGAAAUGGUAUGGAGGAAGAUCCAGAAGAUGAUGGAAGUCUGGAGAGGUCUGGUCAGCAUUGAGUGCUGCCCUGUCUGCUGCUUCAGGAAGAGGAGGUGAGAAGCUGCACAGCACUUUUGCCACCUCAUGAGCCAGGAGGUCGAGAGCAGGAAUCCAGGCCUGCCAAGGUUAGGGUCUUCAUAACUCCCUCAAGUUUUGAGUUGGAAGCCCAAUGGGUCACACCCCAGGAGCAAGGAGGAAGAAAAAGCAAAUCUGCCCUCACAUGGAUGACAGCUCAGCUUCGAGUCACCCAAGUGGCCCUAAAUAUGUCAGUCACUGAAACUGUGCUUAGGGGAUCCCAGAUAGAGGGUACAUCCAGGUACCCGGAUGAAAUAAAAACAAAAUCGUCCCUGGAGAAAGGUAGCAUCCUCCAAGGCCUCAAAUAAUUUCUAAGCAAUCUUCUCCCAAAUACAAUGUCUGGCACUCUACCAAAGAUAACCAGAAACACAAGGAGACAAGACGAC
rnacentral:lncRNA from 1 species